AUAGGUAGUUAAUGCUCACUUUUGUUCAAUUCUAUAUAAUCAAUAAACGUUUUCGGCGCUGCUCGUUCGUCGACUAAUUGAUAAUUAUCGAUAUUUAACGGAUUUAUAAACGCGUCAUAUACUCGUAUAAAAUAGCAUACCUAUAUACAGCAUACAUGUAGCGAAAGAGUCAAACCAUAUUGUGUAAUCCUAUUGAACUUUACGCGUUAUCGUCUUAUCGUUUAUAUACGUACCU